rnacentral:rRNA from 1 species
UACGAAGGGGGGCUAGCGUUGUUCGGAAUUACUGGGCGUAAAGCGUGCGCAGGCGGCUUCUCAAGUCAGGGGUGAAAGCCCAGAGCUCAACUCUGGAAUUGCCUUUGAGACUGAGUGGCUUGAGUACGAGAGAGGUGAGUGGAAUUCCCAGUGUAGAGGUGAAAUUCGUAGAUAUUGGGAAGAACACCGGUGGCGAAGGCGGCUCACUGGCUCGUAACUGACGCUCAUGCACGACAGCGUGGGGAGCAAACAGG